rnacentral:rRNA from 1 species
CAGCCGCCACGGUAAAACGGAGGGGGCUAGCGUUAUUCGGAAUUACUGGGCGUAACGCGCACGUAGGCGGAUCAGAAAGCCAGAGGUGAAAUCCCAGGGCUCAACCUUGGAACUGCCUUUGAAACUCCUGAUCUUGAGGUCGAGAGAGGUGAGUGGAAUUCCGAGUGUAGAGGUGAAAUUCGUAGAUAUUCGGAGGAACACCAGUGGCGAAGGCGGCUCACUGGCUCGAUACUGACGCUGAGGUGCGAAGGCGUGGGGAGCAAACAGGAUUAGAUACCCGCGUAGUCCCUGUCUCUUAUAC